GGUCGGGUGGUGUAGUUGGUUAUCACAUCUCGUUAACAGUAUUACUGUGACACAAUACCGAGAAGGUCCUGGGGUAUGUUUUAAGUCCCAUCCUUCUUC
rnacentral:tRNA from 1 species